rnacentral:lncRNA from 1 species
CUCAUAUGAGUCAUGGGCAUGCUUGAUGCAGAAUUGGCCAGUGUAAACUUCAGUAUGCAUUCUUGUGUGGUACAUAAAUGGAGUAUUCUCAAAUUAUUCAGUCAAAACAUUACAUGAUGUUUUGGUGAUCUUGUUUUGUAACUGUACCGAAGUGCUCUGGACACAAUUUCUUUAGUGGAUUCCCUGUAAUAACAUAAGGCUGUAAUAUUGGAGAACAUCACAAUCUUUCCAUCACAAAUUUGAAAUGAUUCUGGAUGCACUUUCUUCUUUCU